rnacentral:rRNA from 1 species
GACGCAGAAAGGUAGCUGCAGUGGGCUGAUGGUUUAGCCUAUUUAAGGUUGUGGCCCGUUUCCUAGGUAAAUCCGGGAGACACUAGGGUGAGAACUGAUGAGGGACGCUUUUAGAGUGGACUUGUGGUGAUCCUAAGCUGCCGAGAAAAGCCUCGACGCGAGGGGGCAAGGCGCCCGUACCCUAAACCGACUCAGGUGGUCAGGUAGAGUAUACCGAGGCGUUCGAGUGAAUCAUGGUUAAGGAACUCGGCAAAAUUCCUCCGUAACUUCGGGAUAAGGAGGACCCCGUGGUUUCCCAACACCUAGCGUGUUGGUGGGGCCGUGGGGUCGCAGAGAAUAGGGAGAAGCGACUGUUUAUCAAAAACACAGGUGCGUGCGAAGCCGUAAGGCGAUGUAUACGCACUGACGCCUGCCCGGUGCUGGAAGGUUAAGAGGAACCGUCAACAUCCUUCGGGGUGUGAAGCGGUGAAUUUAAGCCCCAGUAAACGGCGGUGGUAACUAUAACCAUCCUAAGGUAGCGAAAUUCCUUGUCGGGUAAGUUCCGACCUGCACGAAUGGCGUAACGACUUCUCCGCUGUCUCGACCGUGAACUCGGCGAAAUUGCAGUACGAGUAAAGAUGCUCGUUUCGCGCAGAAGGACGGAAAGACCCCGGGACCUUUACUAUAGCUUGGUAUUGGUGUUCGCUUGUGCUUGUGUAGGAUAGGUGGGAGACUGUGAAGCCGCGGCGCCAGCCGUGGUGGAGUCGUCGUUGAAAUACCAUUCUGGUUCAAGCGGUCACCUUAACCUAGACCCGUGAUCCGGGUUGGGGACAGUGCCUGGUGGGUAGUUUAACUGGGGCGGUUGCCUCCUAAAAUGUAACGGAGGCGCUCAAAGGUUCCCUCAGCCUGGUUGGUAAUCAGGUGGCGAGUGCAAGUGUACAAGGGAGCUUGACUGUGAGACCGACGGGUCGAGCAGGUGCGAAAGCAGGAACUAGUGAUCCGGCCAUGGCACGUGGGUGCGUGGUCGCUCAACGGAUAAAAGGUACCCCGGGGAUAACAGGCUGAUCUUGCCCAAGAGUCCAUAUCGACGGCAUGGUUUGGCACCUCGAUGUCGGCUCGUCGCAUCCUGGGGCUGGAGUUGGGCCCAAGGGUUGGGCUGUUCGCCCAUUAAAGCGGUACGCGAGCUGGGUUCAGAACGUCGUGAGACAGUUCGGUCCCUAUCCUCUGUGCGCGUAGGAAACUUGAAAAGGGCCGUCCCUAGUACGAGAGGACCGGGAUGGACGAACCUCUGGUGUGCCAGUUGUACCGCCAGGUGCAUGGCUGGUUGGCUACGUUCGGGAAAGAUAACCGCUGAAAGCAUCUAAGCGGGAAACUUGCUUUGAGAUGAGGUUUCCACACCCCCUAGGGUGGAAGGCCCCCGGCAGACUACCGGGUUGAUAGGCCAGAGGUGGAAGCACCGCGAGGUGCUCGUGAGCCGACUGGUACUAAUGGGCCGACACUAACAAAC